AGGUAAGAGGUACUACAGGGGUAGGAGUGAAAUCUUGUAAUCCCUGUCGGGACCACCUGUGGCGAAGGCGUCUUACCAGAACGGGUUCGACGGUGAGGACGAAAGCUGGGGGCACGAACCGGAUUAGAUACCCGGGUAGUCCCACGCCGUAAACGAUGCUCGCUAGGUGUCAGGCAUGGCGCGACCGUGUCUGGUGCCGCAGGGAAGCCGUGAAGCGAGCCACCUGGGAAGUACGGCCGCAAGGCUGAAACUUAAAGGAAUUGGCGGGGGAGCACAACAACGGGUGGAGCCCUGCGGUUUAAUUGGACUCAACGCCGGACAACUCACCGGGGGCGACAGCAAUAUGUAGGCCAAGCUGAAGACUUUGCCUGAAUCGCUGAGUGGAGGUGCAUGG
rnacentral:rRNA from 1 species